AGCGAACGCUGGCGGCAGGCUUAACACAUGCAAGUCGAGCGGGCCCUUUCGGGGGUCAGCGGCAGACGGGUGAGUAACACGUGGGAACGUGCCCUUCGGUUCGGAAUAACUCAGGGAAACUUGAGCUAAUACCGGAUACGCCCUUAUGGGGAAAGGUUUACCGCCGAAGGAUCGGCCCGCGUCUGAUUAGCUAGUUGGUGGGAUAACGGCCUACCAAGGCGACGAUCAGUAGCUGGUCUGAGAGGAUGAUCAGCCACACUGGGACUGAGACACGGCCCAGACUCCUACGGGAGGCAGCAGUGGGGAAUAUUGGACAAUGGGCGCAAGCCUGAUCCAGCCAUGCCGCGUGAGUGAUGAAGGCCUUAGGGUUGUAAAGCUCUUUUGUCCGGGACGAUAAUGACGGUACCGGAAGAAUAAGCCCCGGCUAACUUCGUGCCAGCCGCCGCUAACA
rnacentral:rRNA from 1 species